rnacentral:rRNA from 1 species
GAUGAACGCUGGCGGCGUGCCUAAUACAUGCAAGUCGAGCGAACGGACGAGAAGCUUGCUUCUCUGAUGUUAGCGGCGGACGGGUGAGUAACACGUGGAUAACCUACCUAUAAGACUGGGAUAACUUCGGGAAACCGGAGCUAAUACCGGAUGAUAUUUUGAACCGCAUGGUUCAAAAGUGAAAGACGGUCUUGCUGUCACUUAUAGAUGGAUCCGCGCUGCAUUAGCUAGUUGGUAAGGUAACGGCUUACCAAGGCAACGAUGCAUAGCCGACCUGAGAGGGUGAUCGGCCACACUGGAACUGAGACACGGUCCAGACUCCUACGGGAGGCAGCAGUAGGGAAUCUUCCGCAAGGGGCGAAAGCCUGACGGAGCAACGCCGCGUGAGUGAUGAAGGUCUUCGGAUCGUAAAACUCUGUUAUUAGGGAAGAACAUAUGUGUAAGUAACUGUGCACAUCUUGACGGUACCUAAUCAGAAAGCCACGGCUAACUACG